rnacentral:rRNA from 1 species
GUUUUACCAGAAGUAGGUAGCUUAACCGUAAGGAGGGCGCUUACCACGGUAGGAUUCGUGACUGGGGUGAAGUCGUAACAAGGUAGCCGUAUCGGAAGGUGCGGCUGGAUCACCUCCUUUCUAGAGUG